UUCCCAUUCACGGAGUUGUUUCUUUUCUAUUUUUUUUAAUAUAUUCAUUGCAAUAGAAAGAACUGUGAUCAAUCAUGGAAGAUCCCCAAAUUUAGUUAUCUUUGGAGUAGUGUUUAAAAUUCUUAUUUUACUAAUUAGCCUUAGAAUUUUUAUUUGAUUAAUUCACUUGAGCCUUCAAGAAUAAGAUUGUGUUUGCUCGAAAUAAAGAUAUCUUUGUAACUUGGUAACGCUUCAUGUGAAAUUCUCUCUGAAAGGGAGAGCGUUGGAUGACUAUUGAGCUUGGGUUUGUUAUUGUAUUUAGCUUGGGUUGCCUCCACCAAAAUGUGUUAAGCCAAUUUGGUUUGGCUUCCGCUUCUUUAUAUAUUCUUCAUUUUACACUUUUUUUAUUUGGAUGUGGGACACCAACGCUCUGCAAGGGGAAUUUGUAGGUCGGGUUGUUACUUAAACGACAUGCCCUUAAAUUUUUAUUUCCAGUAGUUGUCACUUAAAGAGCAUGCCUUGUGGCUUUGACUCUACGGGUAUGGAUCACCUGGGUCUAGCUUGUUCUAGCUCGUUGCGGCACUACCCAUUUUUUUUAGGUCAGGAUUGUAGCUUGCUCUGAUAUCAUGCGACAAAUAUUGGCAUUGGUUCUUAUAUUGAGCUUGGGUCGUCUCCAUCAAAAUUGCUUAAGCCAAUUUGGCUUGGAUUUUCCUUACUUUAUGUAUUCUUCAUUUUACUUUUUCCUUUUCGCCCAUGAACACCAACACUUUGCUUGAUCAUUAGCCUAUCCCUUGUCUUUUUCCAUUUUCGUCCUAAUUGUCUAUUCUAGAUGGCUACCAUGUUAACUUCUUAUAUUUUUCAUUUGUGGGUUGUUUGAACACCUAUUUACACACCUUAUUUAUCUCCAAUAUGAUGAUUUUUUAGAAGAUUGAUGAUGACUUAAGAUGUGAGAAAUUCUUGCUUAAGUCAGUUUAUUUUGCAUCCAAUAUACAACAUGAAUGGUGGAAUCCACACAUAAAAUAGGCGGGACCCAUAUGUUUGUGUCCGGAUUGUGAUGGAUCAUGUCUAGAGCUAUUGUUGCCUCAGUAUGACCAAUUUUCACAAAGUCAAAACAAUUUUAGGUUGAGUUUCCUGUCCUACUCUCAUUAACUCUGUAGUAAAAUGUGAUAUUAAUUUGUAAGUUUGUAUGUUUGCAAGGAAAACAAGAAAGAUGAUUUUUUUUUUUCAAAGAAAUGAUGAGGGAAUAAAAGGAAUACACUGAAAAAUAUGAGCUGACAUUGUAUUAAUUGUGUUUUCUUAAAUUUUGUGACAAAAUGAAGAUGACAACCUUUUUGACAUAAAGUAAUACUAUUUUUGUAUUACCAAGAAUAUAUUUAAAGGGAAUAGGGUAUAUUAAGAUCUGAAAUUUGAUGUUAUGUACUAGGUGGCAUACACUCGACCAUAGUUAUCAAAGGCUCAAGG
rnacentral:misc_RNA from 1 species